AUUAAUCGGUGUACAGUCAGUUUAAAGCAACAACACCAUAUUCUGAGAAAGAACUUGCUUAUCCACUGCAAACAAUCCCUAAAUGACUGCACUUGGCUUCUGCUCUUCAAUAAUCCUGGACUUGAUGCCCUUCAGUCCACGUUAACAAGGUUGAUUCGGGAGGGACAAAAUGGCGCCGUAGGGAGAACACUGUGUUUCAGCAAACUACUGUGGCGUUCUUUAAUUUCUCUUUUUAUAUAAAUUUUCUAGCUUGAAAAAGUGGUAGAAUUUGCUAAAUAAGCUAUCCUACAAUGAGUAUUUCUCUAGAAUUUCCGACAGCAUGCCCAGCAGAACUACUAAGAACUCGACCAAAACCACCACCUCUGUAGAUGUGCAGGAGGAGCUAGCUAACGUUAGCGAAGCUAACACCAUUGCGGAUCCAGGCACAAUGGACCUGGUGAUUCAAAGGAUGACGGAUAACAUUACUAAAGUGAUCGAUGUUAAGAUAGUAAUGGUCUUAGAAGCAAUAGCAGGCCAUUCAGAAGAACUACAGAGGGUUGUCAAGCGUGUGGAUAAAGCAGAAAGAAGAAUUGCUACUGUGGAAACUUCAACUACAUCAAUGGACACUAAGAUAAAGGCACUUGAGAAACAGGUGCAUGAAAUGGCGGAGCACAUUGACGACAUGGAUAAUCGAGGACGCAGAUGCAAUAUCCGUGUUGUGGGACUCCCAGAAAAUUCUGAAGGGACACGUUCAGUAAACAUUUUUGAGGAAUGGAUCCCUGGCUACCUACAAAUGGACACUAAAGCUGGUCAUGUGAAGCUGGAUAGAACCCAUCGCUCUCAAGCACUGAUACCCGGUCCCAACCAGCGCCCACGACCAGUGGUUAUAAAGUUCCACAACUUCACUGAUAAGCAGCGCGUCAUGGAUGCGGCCAGACGCAUCGGUUCUUUACGGUAGUCAACGUCAAGGUCCAUGGGUCUCAUUCUUCAAUGAUUAUUCCACAGCAGUUGUACGAAGACGCAAGGCGUUCGAUGAGGUGAACCUCAUCGAACGCCUUAUUCUCUUUAUUCAAGAGAAUAAAGAUGGACUACUACGCGCUGCUGUACCCCUCCAUAUUGAAGAUUAUGGUCAACGGAUCGCCUAAAAAAACUCUACACACCUGAAGAGGCUGCUGCGUUUAUUGACUCUCUCGGAGGGGAACGCAUACUCUUUAACCCUGGAGAAGGUUCUCAUUUUCACUUCGGGGGCUUCGGCCAUUCCUAGGCUGGGAUUCCCAGCGGAGCCACAGCUACAGUUCUAACACAAACAAGAGAAGGAGGCUGCCAGGUUCUUCCCGGGAGAAAAUCUACCCAACUUACGCAGCCUUCAGGGAGAAAAUGGAGAGUGGAAUUCUACAGUCACCAACAUUUGGUGUCAUUGUCAAAGACAGCCACCCUAGUCAUGGACUGUUUUCUCUGCUACCGCACGGCAAGUGGUACCGGAGCGCCAAGUCUGCGUCCAAGAGGCUUCUAAACAGCUUCUACCCCCAAGCCAUAAGACUACUGAACAUUUCAUCAAAUGGCUACCCAGACUAUUUGCAUUGCAACCACCCUCCUCUUUCACGCUGC
rnacentral:lncRNA from 1 species